UCUUCUAUCCACAAUAUCUGGAAAAGAGUAUUAAAACAGUGAAUACUCUGGAUAAGUUUUAUCCUUUGGAAUUGCAGGCUGCUCAGGAUCAAGAGCCUAGGCUAAUAGGAUCCAUCAUGGGAUUCAGGCUUCAACCUUGAUCAGUGAAAGAGGACAAACAAGGAUCAGGCUGCCUGUUCGUACACAGAUAUUACCAGGUAAAGAGAGAAGUUACCUGAUCCAAGGACUGCUGAAGACUGACUCUUAUAUGCUUCCUCAGCAGAUUGAUCUGGCCCUUGCAGGGAG